rnacentral:rRNA from 1 species
AUUGAACGCUGGCGGCAGGCCUAACACAUGCAAGUCGAACGAGUGGCGGACGGGUGAGUAAUGUCUGGGAAACUGCCCGAUGGAGGGGGAUAACUACUGGAAACGGUAGCUAAUACCGCAUACCAUCGGAUGUGCCCAGAUGGGAUUAGCUAGUAGGUGGGGUAACGGCUCACCUAGGCGACGAUCCCUAGCUGGUCUGAGAGGAUGACAGUCAAAACUGGAAUGGAGAAGCGGGCCAGACGCCUAGGGGGGGCCGAAGUGGGGCAUAUUGGACAAUUGGAGCAAGCGUGGUGCAGCCAGGCGGCGGGAAGGAAGAAGGCUUUCGGAUUGUAAAGGUAUUUCGUUGAGGAGGCGUUAAUGGCAGAAGAAGCACCGGCUAAUUCCGUGCCAGCAGCCUCGGGAAUUC